rnacentral:rRNA from 1 species
UACAGAGGGGGCAAGCGUUGUUCGGAAUUACUGGGCGUAAAGGGCGCGUAGGCGGCCUGCUAAGUCGAACGUGAAAUCCCUGGGCUCAACCCAGGAACUGCGUCCGAUACUGGUUGGCUUGAAUCCGGGAGAGGGAUGUGGAAUUCCAGGUGUAGCGGUGAAAUGCGUAGAUAUCUGGAGGAACACCGGUGGCGGAGGCGACAUCCUGGACCGGUAUUGACGCUGAGGCGCGAAAGCCAGGGGAGCAAACGGG